rnacentral:rRNA from 1 species
UACGUAGGUGGCAAGCGUUGUCCGGAUUUAUUGGGCGUAAAGAGCGUGUAGGCGGCCAGGUAGGUCCGUUGUGAAAACUCGAGGCUCAACCUCGAGACGUCGGCGGAAACCAUCUGGCUAGAGUCCGGAAGAGGAGAGUGGAAUUCCUGGUGUAGCGGUGAAAUGCGCAGAUAUCAGGAAGAACACCCGUGGCGAAGGCGGCUCUCUGGGACGGUACUGACGCUGAGACGCGAAAGCGUGGGGAGCAAACAGG